ensembl:lncRNA
CUCACAAGCAGAUUGCUAAUGUGGGGUUUUUUGUUUGUUUCAGUGCUUUCUCUUAGGAGGCGAUGCUCCUGACAGCUUGAUUGCUUGGAAUCUGAGGUGAAAAUGCCCAACCAAAGAGAUCAGUUGAGAGAGGAAAAAGCAGCACGUUAAAAUAAGAAAAACAGGAUUUUUGUGAAGGACACAAUUGUGUGUUUGCGCGUUGCUGAAACCCAAAGGUACUUCUAAUAACCCUUUAAAACAUCAUCUUUUUGUAAUAAUCUUCAUAAUCCUCACCUAGGAUUGCCAGGGAGUAAUUUGUGACUGCAGUCUGACAGGGUUGCUUGACAGAACAUCAAAGGUUUGUGCCACUGAAGUUUUAUGCAGCCAUUGCUAAAUCCUUCAUGCUUGAAACAAUGAUGAAAAAUGAUUGUCAGCUAUGAAACCAAAAUUACAUCAAUCUGCUUCAGGGUUGUGGGGCUUUUUUUUUUCCUUCAUUUGAAAACAUGACCCAGCCCAGCACAGUUCACUUACCAACCUCAAGUGUUCUGUCAUUGGAAAAGAAUAGAACUGAGUCAGGAGGGGUGAAUUUAUUUCAUGCUUCACAAAUGUAUGUGGGGGGGGUGGGAAGGAGAAGAUGCUGAAAAUAAAAUCAAGCAGGUCAGUGCCCAAAUACCUCGUUCUGAUUGUCUUUAUAUAACACAUGUAACAGACAGUGUAGUUGCCCUUUGAAUUUCCAAGGGGAAUAUCCAAUGCAGAGUAGCUGAAAUGGAAACUAAAUAUGACUGGAGGCUCUAGUUUCCCAGUGAUAUCACUGCAGGUAGUUUUUCUGGCUGUAAAUCAAGUGAUCCUUAAAGCUGAAUGCUGAGAAGCAGAAGUUUGGGAGUGAUUUGGCUCGUCACCUCUAUCAAAAUCUGGCCUUAAUGAGGAUCUUGUUAGCUACUUCUCCACCUGCUUUGCCCUGUGCAGAGCCCUCCAUGAAGCACCAAAACCAGGGGACCAAGCUGAAAGCAAGAGGAAAUGAGAGGUUUAAAGCAUCAGCAUUGACUCUGUUGGGAAUGCACAGGUGGGAGAGGCUGCUGCAGGAGUGCCUGCCCUCCACCUGUGUCCCUGCCUGCCCAUGGCACCAGGGGCUGCACUGGUGGGGCUGCUGCACGACUCCUGUGGCUGACCCUGUCUGCCUGGCAGGGCUGGAGCACACUCUGCUGCUGCUGCUGCUGCUGCUGUGCAGAAAAGCUGAAUCACUCAGCACCCUGCUGCUCCGUGAGCCUACUCACAGAGGAAAAAAAUACAUUCCUUUCACCAGUCAUGGUGAGGGGACUUUGUCUGGACAAAGUCCAUUCUGCAUUGCAGGUAAUUGUUUUAGGGUUGUUUUUGGAGGAAAACAGGAGAGACACAGCCUGGCUGCUCCUGUUCCCAGUCACGAGGGAGAGAUCCCAUCAGUCUGGUCCCUCUGCAAGGGCUCUGUCACUUCCCAGGCUCUUGAUUCCCUGACUGAUCAGCCAGAAGCUGCUGGGAGUCAGAUUCUCCCCUCCAAAACUCUGUUUUCUUCUCACUGGAAGAAACUUCCAGCUCUCAGGUCUUCUCAUACCUGUGGAGAGGACACCAUGCCUGAAAUGAUUGUGAAGAACACCUCAAACAAACAAAAAACCAAGGUAAUCUGUCUUCAUCAGAUCUUGUCCAGAAUGCAUUGA